CGCGAAUGGCUCAUUACAACAGCUAACAAAUCUACUUGAUCUUGACACAAUCCUACUUGGAUAACUGUGGUAAUUCUAGAGCUAAUACAUGCAUUAAAGCUCUGACCUUCGGGGAAGAGUGCAUUUAUUAGAACAAAACCAAGCGGCUUCGGCUGUUUUCGGUUGACUUAUAGUAACUGAGCUGAUCGCAUGGUCUUGCACCGGCGACGUGUCUUUCGAGUAUCUGCCGUAUCAACUUUCGAUGGUAGUGUAUCUGACUACCAUGGUGAUCACGCGUAACGGAGAAUAAGGGUUCGACUCCGGAGAGUUCGCCUGAGAAAUCGCGAACACAUCUAAGGAAGGCAGCAGGCGCGAAAAUUACCCACUCUCAGCACGAGGAGGUAGUGACGAAAAAUAACAAGACCGUUCUCUUAUGAGGCCGGUCAUCGGAAUGGGUACAAUUUAAACCCUUUAACGAGUAUCAAUGAGAGGGCAAGUCUGGUGCCAGCAGCCGCGGUAAUUCCAGCU
rnacentral:rRNA from 1 species